CCCGAAAGGGGCACGUCUUCGUGGGUGUCCACAUUCCUAGGCUAUCCCACCCCUAACGUGCUUUUUCCUUAAGCUUCUAACGAGCGUGAGAACCGCUCUCUCCCGUUCGAGCUUCGAGAACUUGCGAACUGACUUCUUCGAUCCAGAGACUGCCAGCCAGGGUGGGGCAGGGGGUAUAGAGGCAAGCGCGGUAAUUAAGGGAAACUAACGACGCCCAAGACUCUGGAGGACACGGGCCGAUAGUUAAUGCGACCCGUCGCCGUAUUAUUCAUCGAACUUUUUGCCACGUAGUAUGCUCUGAACUUUUGGAUGGUGUUACAGGGAAUCGUGAACGGCUAAGGGAUCUUAUUGUCUGCUCGAACGGUCUUGAAUUUUAACGACGGCGAAGAUUCGGCGAAAUAAAUUCGAAUAGAACAUGUAUCAGCGAGAAACAGCUUCGCUACUUUUCUCAACAGGUGGAAGUUAUUUGGUAUUACGCGAAAAGAAGCAGGAAUGCGGAGGUGUGCAGAGUGUUUUUCACGAUCGGUAGCAGUGCAGAACAAUCGUUAACAAAUCUGCCGGACCGGUCAAUGUUUAACGAGGUCGUGUGUCCCUGGGAAGAGCACGCGGCCCGGCACGGUGGCGAAGGGGGUUUGGGGUACUUCCAUCACGUAUUUACACGCUAUGCUUGCUGAUUGGCGUGCGCUGCUACCAACGUUUUAAUGAUUUACCCUUGGAGACUGGCAUUUAGCCUAGGACGAUGUAACGUGAUUUAUUAUUGAUUGCCGAUUAUUGAUUCACGCCGAGUAAACGUAAUUCGAU